GGGUUUUAGUUUUUUUUUUUUAAUUAAUUUUCUUUUUAGUUUAUUAUUUAAAUAAUUGUCAGUUUUUUUACUGUUAAGGUUUUUUAAUUUAAAUUAAGGUUUGAAUUUUUUGUACCUUUUGUAUCAGGGUAAUUUAAUUUUUUUAUUUAUUUUAUUAUCCCGAAUGUUAUUAAUUUAGUUUUAUUUUUUUUUAUUUGUUUCAUAAAAUUUGUUAAUUUAAUUUUAGUAGUUAUACUCUAUUCGUAAUUUCUUAUAUCUGGUUGUUCAGGAUUUAAUUUUAAAUUAGGUUAAUUUGUUGUUCUUAUUAUUUUUUUUAUUAACUUAUUUUAUAAGGGAUAAUCUUUAUAAUUUUUUAUAAAUUUGGUUUUUUUAUUUUUAUUAUUUUUAGUAUUUAUUUUUAGUUUUUAAUAGAUUUGGUUUUUUAGUUAUUAUUUUUUUGGUUUUAUUAUUUUACUGAAUUUAUUUAUUAAAUUUUUUUUUUUUUUUAAUAAUGAUUUAAUUAGUAAGAUUUUUAUUUUUUAAAUAAUGAAUUCGACAAAUUUAAUUUUCAACUGUUUAUCAAAAACAUUUCUUUUAGUUAUUUAUUGAAAGUAAUUUCUGCUCUAUGAUUUUUUUAAAUGGCCGCGGUAUAUUGACUGUGCAAAGGUAGCAUAAUAAUUAGUUUCUUAAUUAGGAACUUGUAUGAAUGAAAAUAUGAGAGAUUUAUUUUAUUUUUAUAAUUUUUUUAAUUUAACUUUUAAGUUAAAAGGCUUAAUUGAUUUAUUGGGACGAUAAGACCCUAUAGAACUUUAAUUUUUAUUUGUUUUUUAUUUUUUGUUUAUUAAGAUGAUUUUUUUUUUUAGUUGGGGUGACGGGUAAAUUUUUAUCUUUAUUUAAUUUUUUCAUAUUAUUUAUGUUUUUUUUGAUCCUUUUAUUUUGGAUUGUAAGAUUAGUUACCUUAGGGAUAACAGCGUAAUUUUAGUGGGGAGUUCUUAUUUAUACUAAAGUUUUCGACCUCGAUGUUGAAUUAAGAUUAUAAUAGGGGGUAGGUUUUCUAAUAUUAAGUCUGUUCGACUUUUAAAAUCUUACAUGAUUUGAGUUCAAACCGGUGUGAGCCAGGUUGGUUUCUAUCUUAUAAUUUUUUUUUCUUAUUAGUACGAAAGGACUUUAAGUUAUUAGUUAUUAAUUUUUAUUGAUUUAUAUUAAUUU
rnacentral:rRNA from 1 species